AGAUGUGAGGGCGAUCUGGCUGCGACAUCUGUCACCCCAUUGAUCACUAGGGUUGUUUCGGCUGAUCUGGCUGGCUAGGCGGGUGUCCCCUUCCUCCCUCACCGCUCCAUGUGCGUCCCUCCCGAAGCUGUGUGCUCAAUCGAAGCGGAUGGCCUUCCCCGAAUAGAGACAGACCAGUCUUCCAUCGAGGGUAUACAAGUAGCUGCUCCCCUGCUAGAACCUCCAAACAAGCUCUCAAGAAUAGGAAAGCUUUCAGGGGAGGGGAUGGGAUACGGAGAUCUGGUGGUGGGAAUUGUGUGGAGUUGUACCCCUCUUAUC
rnacentral:snRNA from 1 species